UGGGGAAUAUUGGACAAUGGGCGCAAGCCUGAUCCAGCCAUGCCGCGUGGGUGAAGAAGGCCUUAGGGUUGUAAACCCCUUUCAGUCGGGGAAGGAUAAUGACGGUACCCGCAGAAGAAGUCCCGGCUAACUCCGUGCCAGCAGCCGCGGUAAUACGGAGGGGACUAGCGUUGUUCGGAAUUACUGGGCGUAAAGCGCGCGUAGGCGGACCUGCAAGUCGGGGGUGGAAAGACCCGACGGCUCAACCUCGGAACUGCCUUCGAUACUGCGGGUCUCGAGUCCGGAGAGGUGAGUGGAAUUCCUAGUGUAGAGGUGAAAUUCGUAGAUAUUAGGAAGAACACCAGUGGCGAAGGCGGCUCAC
rnacentral:rRNA from 1 species